UGGUCAUGGACGCUAAAGUGGGUGUCAUUUUGCAUAGAACAAAGUCAUCGCGAGUUUGUGAUUGCAAUUAUGUCAAGUGGAUUCAAUAUACGAUUGACAUGAGUUUUAUCUAAUAACGCUCAUUUAUUCAGUGUUUGUUACAAGUCUUAAAGUUCGUGCAUGCAUAAAUAUUUCAACUUGGGUCAAGUUCUGGAGAAUGGUCUCUUCGGAAGAAUUCGUCCCCGUUGACAGAUCGGGCGAAGAAGGUCUUGAGCAGGAUCUGGGUGAAAUCGGUGGAGGAAAACAAACCACAAAUGGGGAAAGUAGCCUCUCCUAGGCUUUGUCUUAAUUUUCGGACAAGCCAAUGCUUAGGAGAGGGUUUCUUGGCUCAUUUGCUAAAUUCAACGCAGAAAUUUCUGGAGGAUCCAAUUCUUAACGAAUGUGUCCAUUAAUGUAUGUAAGUACCCACGAGUUCUUUUUCCUGUGAGGAGUGAUCCAGAACAAUGACCCCACAAAAAAGCCCAUGAUGAAGAUUUCAAAAUCGUCGUUUAUAUGUAAGUGCGAAAUCUCAUCUCACCUCAUAAAUUCAGACGCAUACGAAGGUGAUGGGAUGCUAGGAGGAAAGGUUUUGAUUUUCUAACCACACCCACUCUCACUAUGCAAAUUAGAAAUAUGUAUGCAUGCAUAGUCCUUCUCAAGGAAAAUAGAGUAUAUGUAGAAUGGAAUCUAUUAAUCUCUCGUUCAAGUCGUAAAAUACUCGCAAACUUUGGGCAUUUUAUUUGCAAGAGAAUUGCAUAUCCAAUAUUUUGCUGUAAAUAAUUUCUGGGUGAAGGUAUGAAUAAUUUUCAUAGUGAAAAACUUUAUGAAUCUGCAAAAAGUGCAUUUAAUUUACUUUAUAGAAUAAGGAAAAUCAGUCGAGUGUAUAUGCACAUACAAUGUGGAUGAAAAGCAAUAAAAUCGUAUGAAAGGCUUUAAAAAAUUGAGAAUAACAUGUAAAUCGAAUUCAAUACUUGUGCUACAAAAAUGUAUUUUAUUGCGUACAAAACUCGUAUCAAAAUUCAUUCAUUCAUUCACAAACGCGAACUUGUCAAUAAUUCUGAAACGUUUGACACAAAUCACGACCCAACCACACCCUAAAUUUCUAAACUAUGUGUAAGUAUCUAUAAAUUUCUCUCGUAGUAAACUCUUAAGUUUUUUAAUUAACCAUUUAAGGAUCACAUCAGUCUGGGUUCUGUGGGUGGCAAGACAUCAUUGAUGAGUUACUAAUUCAUAUGUCUUGCAUUGUAUAAUACUACACACGGCCAAGGUGCGUCAUAUCAAAACACCAAAUUCUUGAAACGAC